rnacentral:rRNA from 1 species
CCUACGGGGAGCAGCAGUGGGGAAUAUUGCACAAUGGGGGGAACCCUGAUGCAGCGAUGCCGCGUGGAUGAAGAAGGAUUUCGGAUUGUAAACUCCUAUUAUCAGGGAAGAUAAUGACGGUACCUGAAGAAAAAGCUCCGGCUAACUACGUGCCAGCAGCCGCGGUAAUACGUAGGGAGCGAGCGUUGUCCGGAUUUACUGGGUGUAAAGGGAGCGUAGGCGGGACGGCAAGUCUGAUGUGAAAACGGGGGGCUCAACCUUCAGACUGCAUUUGAAACUGCUGUUCUUGAGUGAAGUAGAGGUAAGUGGAAUUCCUAGUGUAGCGGUGAAAUGCGUAGAUAUUAGGAGGAACACCAGUGGCGAAGGCGGCUUACUGGGCUUUUACUGACGUUGAGGCUCGAAAGCGUGGGGAGCAAACAGGAUUAGAUACCCGAGUAGUC